UACGUAGGGUGCGAGCGUUGUCCGGAAUUAUUGGGCGUAAAGAGCUUGUAGGCGGUCUGUCGCGUCUGCUGUGAAAAUCCGGGGCUCAACCCCGGACUUGCAGUGGGUACGGGCAGACUAGAGUGUGGUAGGGGAGACUGGAAUUCCUGGUGUAGCGGUGAAAUGCGCAGAUAUCAGGAGGAACACCGGUGGCGAAGGCGGGUCUCUGGGCCGUAACUGACGCUGAGACACGAAAGCGUGGGUAGCAAACAGG
rnacentral:rRNA from 1 species